GGGCCAGUGGCGAAACGGAUGACGCGUCUCACUAUGGAUAAGGAGAUUCCAGGUUCGAAUCCUGGCUGGCUCG